AAUAAGGAGAGAGUUGCAGAAUAGAGGAAAUCCUCAGGAAAGCCUUAAGAGAAGCUUCCCCAUUAAAGCUGGGCCUCCUUUCCAUCCCUCUGGAUGUGGCUCCUACAGCCGCAUCAGCAACGGAGCCCAGAAGCCAGCGGUGUGUGCGGCUCCCUGGUGUCACAAAGACACAUGCACCUGAGCGGCGCUGGACAGAGACCGAGGGGAGCACCUGCAGCGCGUGAGAGCCAGAAGGGGCCUUGGGAUCACCCGGUGCCGCCCUUGAUUCACGGAGGAAGGAAGGCGAGGCCGAGAAAGCAGGAAGGGACUCUGUUAACCGAUGGCAAUUUCGAACCAGGGCCUCCUUUCUGUGUGAGGAGGGGAAGUGGUGGGAGCAGCCACCGUGGAUAAAUAUGAAAUGCUUCCCCCUGGAGCUCAGAGCCCUCUCGGCCAGCUGUUCUGCCUCCUUGAGGGCGAGACUGUUCAUACCAUUCCUCUACUGGAGACCCCUUACCAGGCUUCUAGGUGCUUCUCAGACCCAGCCCAGCAGACGCCUCCUCCCUGGCUGGGUCCUGGCCCCUCCCCGGCUUGAGCAGUGCCCAGAGAGAAGUGCCAGGAUGGGAUCGA